rnacentral:rRNA from 1 species
GUGGGGAAUUUUGGACAAUGGGCGCAAGCCUGAUCCAGCAAUGCCGCGUGCAGGAAGAAGGCCUUCGGGUUGUAAACUGCUUUUGUACGGAACGAAACGGUCCUGGUUAAUACCUGGGGCUAAUGACGGUACCGUAAGAAUAAGCACCGGCUAACUACGUGCCAGCAGCCGCGGUAAUACGUAGGGUGCGAGCGUUAAUCGGAAUUACUGGGCGUAAAGCGUGCGCAGGCGGUGCUGUAAGACAGGCGUGAAAUCCCCGGGCUCAACCUGGGAAUUGAGGUUGAGACUGCAGUGCUGGAGUACGGCAGAGGGGGAUGGAAUUCCGCGUGUAGCAGUGAAAUGCGUAGAUAUGCGGAGGAACACCGAUGGCGAAGGCAGUCCCCUGGGCCUGUACUGACGCUCAUGCACGAAAGCGUGGGGAGCAAACAGGAUUAGAAACCCUGGUAGUCC